GUACGAAUAAUAUGCUGACUAAAGUUUAUUAACACUAAAGGACAAAAAGACCCUCUGAAGCUUUAUAGGGAUAAAACUUGGGUAACAUUCUCAAUACAAAUAUUCUUAUUGCAUGCCAGCUAAAGUAGUAAAUUAUUGGUUUUCUCCUAAGACCACUGUUUAAUUGGGGCGAUAACCUUAUCAACAGCCACCUAAGGUGAACAAAGCGAUACAAGGAUCCUAAACUUUUGACCAACUAAUAAGUGCAAAGAUACAUGUUUCGCUUAAUGGCCCAACAAGUCCUUCCCAGUACUUAAAUGCUAUCUUAAUGAGCUUUAAAUUAAUUUACCCGAGUUAAGCUACUCUACGGAUAACAGGCUUAAUUUCCGCAAUAUUAAAGGUCACAUUAUCACGAAAAAUGUACCUCGAUGUCGGCUUAUCAUCACUAAAAUAGGUAGCUUAAUUAUUGGUGGGAGUGCUCAUCCCGUAAAUUGGUUCGUGAGCUGGGUUCAAUACGAUGG
rnacentral:rRNA from 1 species